CAAUAGCGUAUAUUAAAGUUGUUGCAGUUAAAAGCUCGUAGUUGGAUUUCUGGCAGAGUGUCCUUUGGCCAGCAUGACGUUUGGUCCAGAGCGCUCUACCAUCCUUCUGUUAACCUUGUCAGCAUUCACUUGCUGGCCUGGGGCUCAGAUAUUUUACCUUGAGAAAAUUAGAGUGUUUCAGGCAGGCUUUCGCCGGAAUACAUUAGCAUGGAAUAAUGGAAAAGGACUUCAACCUCUUCUGUUGGUCUGAGAGGCUGUAGUAAUGAUUAAUAGGGAUAGUUGGGGGCAUUAGUACUCAACUGUCAGAGGUGAAAUUCUCCGAUUCGUUGAAGACUAACUUAUGCGAAAGCAUUUGCCAAGGAUGUUUUCAUUAAUCAAGAACGAAAGUUAGGGGAUCAAAGACGAUUAGAUACCAU
rnacentral:rRNA from 1 species